rnacentral:rRNA from 1 species
AAAUUGAAGAGUUUGAUCAUGGCUCAGAUUGAACGCUGGCGGCAGGCCUAACACAUGCAAGUCGAACGGUAACAGGAAACAGCUUGCUGUUUCGCUGACGAGUGGCGGACGGGUGAGUAAUGUCUGGGAAACUGCCUGAUGGAGGGGGAUAACUACUGGAAACGGUAGCUAAUACCGCAUAACGUCGCAAGACCAAAGAGGGGGACCUUCGGGCCUCUUGCCAUCGGAUGUGCCCAGAUGGGAUUAGCUUGUUGGUGGGGUAACGGCUCACCAA